GAAGCAGGACAGAUGAUCGCCGGCCGCCCUUGAGGCCGCCGGAGGAAAGUCCGAGCUCCACAGGGCAGGGUGCUGGGUAAUCCCCAGCGGGGGCAACCCUAGGGAAAGUGCCUCAGAGACCAGACCGCCGUGGUACGUCCACGGUAAGGGUGAAAAGGUGAGGUAAGAGCUCACCAGCGGCAGUGGCGACAUU
rnacentral:RNase_P_RNA from 1 species